UGUACGUCAUUUGAUUCAGGUUUGUAACACCAUGUAGGUCACAACAUGACUAAAAAUGGAAUCAGUUGCCGAAAGGGAGGGUUUUGCUUCUAAUACCUAUAGUUCAUACAUGAUGAACAGAACGGUUCACUGUUCUGUGGAAGAAAGAUUACAAGGUGAAGUGAGCUUCUCUGGAUGCCUUCACAACAAAAGAAUGAAUUGAAGAGAUACUGAGAGAUAUAGCUUGCUCUUUCUUUACUCUGGAUAUUUCCCUGUUCCAUCAGAAAUCUUUCCAUUAGCAGAUGCACAUUGCCAUCAUCCCACACUGCAUGUUUGGUCAGGAAACGUGGAGGCUAUGAUUGUGUUUAACUGCUGGGAUGAUUGGGUUUCUGAUAUCCUGCCAGGAUCCCACUGCAGAUACCACCAAGAGUUCCAUGGUGACGUUUGUAAAAAGGGCUGCUGCACAAGACUUAUUCUCCUCCACCUCUAAGGAAGAGAGCAAAGAGGAAACACUGAGAAGGCCGCCUCCAGCAUCCCCCACCAGCUUAGCUACUGAUACCUUGUUAAGGAAGAAAGGCCCAGGCCGCUGUCACUGGGAGGACUGGCAGAGACCAGGCACCUGCUCAGGCCCAGGCAGGCGAGGACCGUGUGGGUGUCAGCCAUUAGACGCUUCCUACAAACUCACAAGCAAACACGGCGCCAACAGGAACGUUUGUCAGGAACACCAGGAAACUGAACACAAAAGGUUGCAGCACCACUCGGGCGUGAGGUUGUCAGGCUACCUCCAGAGAUGCCAGACCCUUGGUUUGCUGAAUAUGUGCAGAUCUGCACUUCAUUGCUCUAGCCAUUAAUGCUCAACACCAAUGACAUGGCAGUUAUGAGGGGAGAAAUCAGUUCAGGUGCCACUUUCUCACAGGGAGGCAGGGUGAUGGUGGCAGGCAUGCAGCUGGUGGAAGAACCACAUAUGUGCCUCCCAGAGGUCUCCUCAGAGGUGACCAGGUCUUCUACUUCCAUGCUGACUACAUCCCUCAGCCUCAUGGGAAUUCAGGCUGAGGAGGUUGCAGCUGGCUCCGGGCAGGACACACUUGGCAUGUCAGGGUGUUGGGAUGUAAUACUCCUGGGGUCGCCCAACCAAGGCCAGUGGAUUCCAGUUCAUAGAUUUGAGGCGGGUGCAGUUGUUGCUAGUGGAAUGUGCAGUCAGAUGUCGGUCAUGGGCCUCUAAGAUAGAGGAGCAAGUGGUGAGCUGGAAGUGCCAGUUACCCACUGCUAUGAAAGUAUGAGUUUUUUUGUAAAAUUGAUUGUUUAUCCAGCUUAUGCGAAGAUCGUAAAGUUCCCAUAAAAGGUCUCUGAUUUCUCCCCUCAUAGCUGUCAUGUCAUUGGUGUUGAGCGCUAAUGGCUAGAGCAAUGAAGUACAGAUAUGCACAUAUUCAGCAAACCAAGGGUUUGACAUCUCUGGAGGUAGCCCGACAAUAGUUGAUAUGUGAACUAAAACUUUAUAUUCAUUAUGCAGCGUUUUACAGAAGCUUACCAGCAUUAGAGCAAUGGAUGACCAAUUCAACUUGCACAUCUCAUGAUAUUAAUUCAAUAGCUCCCAAUGUUCUGGUUCAGUAACUACACAAAAUUGUUCCACUCAGUUAUAACGUUGGGACUCAAAAGUUUAUACAAAAAUGUUGGAAAAAUCAACAGAGAGAUAUGAAUAUUAUUUCAUAGUAAAUGAUAAUUUUGUAACUGACGUUUAAGAAGAGUAAAUGGUGAUAUUCACUCUCAGCUGAACUUUCCUGUUCAAUUGCUAUUAAUAGAUGGAAAUCUUCAUUUGCCUUUGCCCAAACAUAAUGUGUUUCAAGUGAAAAAUUAUAAUUGGUACUGUAUAAAUUUAGCUUAAUUAAUUUUGUGGUUGUAAUUGUUAUAAUUGUGACAUUUUUACAACAAUAUAUAUCAUCUAACAAACUUCACACUAUCUAAAAUUUCACCAGGACUUUGGUGUAUAGAAAACUGGUCAGAAUAAAUAAUAUUCUGUAAUAUUUGGCUGAUGAUCAUCAAGUGUAACUAACAUCUAUAGAAGUUCAACUACCAGUACACAAUCAUACAUAAACCAACAGUGCUAAUUAACCCUCACAAUAACCUUUAUUACAGUUAUUCAGUUCACUAUAGCCACAUAAACAGGAAGAGCUUUACAGACUAUAUAUUGGAAGUCCUUUAAUGGUAUUCCUUUUGACUCACAGGAAGAGAUAUGUUGAAGCAUUACAACAAUAUGCUGCAGUUCCUGUUUUGUAAUUUUCUAUAACCCCUUUAUGUCUGACUACUAAAUUUAGUAGAUUAAAUUACUUACUAAAGACAUGACAAAAUAAUUGUGACAUGAAGAAGCUAUAUCCAGUGUUCACAAUGACAGCAAUGUUAUUAAAUUGCAUAGGAGGAAAUGGGAAAGGAGAAAAAUAUUUUGCAUAUAUUUGAAUGACUUACCUAUGAUGAAUACCUUUGCUGCUAAUUGUUGCUCAGCAACAAUGGUUUGCAUGGUCACUGACUUCUCAGAUUGCACAACUGAGCUCUGCUGUUAGUAAUCGUUUCAACAUUAACAUAAACUGGGUUUGAAUUUACAUAAUCUCUGGAGAUUUAUUUUAAAUAUUUAUAGCCAUUAGCGAAUUCAUGAGAAGUUACAUUUUAUGAUUUUAAUACGUAUUUCAGUGUACAUUUAUAGCUAUGCAAGGCAUCAAGAAUGUAAAAUGAUUUGAACUAGAUUUGUGAAAGAAUACAUUGAGAAAUUGGUGAUUUUCGGGCGAUUUCACCUUCAUGCUCACUUAUUUUCUUAUCUAUCAGUCAUUAUUAUUUGGCUAUGGAGCCAGGUAAGCAACCUGGUCCUGAGGCAUUGUUGCUUAACAAGGUGCUAGAAGGUGCCUGCAAAUUGUCUGUGAUAACUACCUUACCCAACUGUGUCUAUACGUUGCUCUGUUCAGCACACAGUCCACCUGAGAUUGCAAAAUUCCUAUGGAGAAAGUAAGGGACAAUCAUGUCCUGCCUCCCUUUGGAAUAGUGCACCUAUGUAGUAAUAAAAGAAGUGUGUUAUCCAAUUAAACCUUUAUUAUUUUAUGAACAAAAACAAAGUUGCUGGAAAAGCUCAGCAGAUCUGGCAGCACUUGUAAAGAAAAAAAUUCAGAGUUAACGUUUGGGUCCGGUGACCCUUCCUCAGAACUGUUCCUCAUCCGGACUGGGAGAAAAUUCAGCAGUCUGAUGUGUAAAUAGACUUGGGAGUUCUAGUCCAGGAUUCUGUCAAGAUAAACUUGCAGGUUGAGUCAGUAAUCAGGAAGGUAAAUGCAAUGUUGGCAUUUAUUUUGAAAGGACUUGCAUACAAAAGCAGAGAUGUACUCCUGAGGCUUUAUAAGGCUCUGGUCAGGCCACAUUUGGAGUAUUGUGUGCAGCUUUGGGCCCCAUAUCUCAGGAUGUACUGGCCCUGGACCACGUUCACAAGAACGGUCCCAGGAAUGGAAAGGUUAACUUGAGAGAGCAUGGAAUGCGUUGCCAGCAGCAGUUGUGGAAGCAAGGUCAUUGGGGUCAUUUAAGAGACUGCUGGACAUGCAUAUGGUCACAGAAAUUUGAGGGUGCCUACAUGAGGAUCAAUGGUCGGCACAACAUUGUGGGCUGAAGGGCCUGUUCUGUGCUGUACUGUUCUAUGUUCUAUGUUAACAUAUGAGGAACGUUUGAGGACUCUGAGUCUAUACUCAAUGGAGUUUAGAAGGACAAGGGGGGAUCUAAUUGAAACUUUCAGAAUACUGAAUGGCCUGGACAGAGUGGAUGUUGGGAAGUAGCUUCCAUUGGUAGGAGAGACUAGCACCCGAGGGCACAGCCUUAGAGUAAAGGGAAGACCUUUUAGAAUGGAGAUAAGGAGAAACAUCUUCAGCCAGAGAAUGGUAAAUCUAUGGAAUUCACUGCCACAGAAGGAUGUGGAGGCCAGGUCAUUGAGUAUAUUCAAGACUAAGAUAGGUGCUUGAUUGUUAUGGGGAGAAAGCGGGAGAAAGGGGUUGAGGAACUUAUCAGCUAUGAUUGAAUGGUGGAGCAGACUCAAUAGGCCGAAUGGUCCAAUUUCUGCUCCUAUGUCUUAUGGUCUUAGGACCCAAAACAUUAACUCUGACUUUUUCUUGCCAGAUGCUGCCAGACCUGCUGAGCUUUUCCAUCAACUUUGAUUUCGUUCCUGAUUUACAGCAUCUGCAGUUCUUUCGGUUUUUACUUUAUUAUUUUGUUUCCUUUUAAAUCAAUUUCGGUUGAGAGCUGAAGGCUACCUUUUGACCGAGCAGCAGCGAGUUGUGAAAAACAGACUGCAAAGAUGUUUGUUAAUGAGACCAGGUCAAUUGCAGAUUGUUUCUUUUUGAAAAGUGCUCUAAAGAUGCUUUGACUCUGGAGAGGCCUUCUGUUCAAGCAGGUGACAAAUAUUCAAUGAUAGCUGGGACCUUAUGGGAGGACAGUUAGUCUGACAGGGACAAGCCAGAGUUUGGACUGGCUUUUGAACUAUCAGAAGGAUUGUGCCUUCAAGAGGUUUGAUUGCUCCCCAGUUGACCUGUCAUCAUCAACUUAUCCAAAGUUCAGAGAAUAAUGUCUGCUACAGGAAUUAGUUUAAUAUUCCUCACAGACAUCUGCAUACAUCAGCGUCAUCUGAAACUAUAAGACAGAAUUCCAUAUGCCGCUAAUGUUACCUAUUGUGGUGACCGCUUAAUCGAACUGGCCAGUUAAAUCUCAUUAUUCCUUUUGAUUUAGCCUUUAACUAACUGUGUUGCUUGUCUGUCUUUGCAUGAACGUGGAGCCUAGAAUCAAGUUAGAUUGAGUUUAAAGUGAUAUUAAUUAGAUUACCCUGUAGUUUAACUUUGCUGUAUUAAAGUUACUGUAUUAUCAAUAAGUUGUGAUAUUCUUUGUUAAGCUAUAAACCUGGUGUUUAGUAUCAAUUAUGCACUAAGUUUGGACAUUGAGAAGGUUUAGUUAUGAAACAUUGGGGUCAUUAGAGUCAUUAAAUAUUUUAAUUUUAAUUUUAAUUUGUUAAGAACACUUGGAUUGAGAGACUGAUUUCAUUUGCCCAUGGUAUCCAUGUCAUAGCAUAUUCUAAGAACACAUGUUUUUUUUUUAAAUCUUAUCCAUGAAGUCACAAGACCCUUUCAGCAGAUUAAACAAAGGGGAAACUUGCUUUUGUGCGAAAGAACUGAAACACACAAUUAACUUAGUGAACAGUGUUCAAAGCUAUAAACUUAAGAGAAAACUCCAUUUUAUGCUAAAAUUCAUCAAGUUCUCAAAAAAUUUAUUAAUCAGGACAUGGUCACCCCCCAACCUUCAGUCUUCUGACCAAAAAAAAGGUCCAAAGUCACCAGGAAUUAAAUCCUUCAAGUUUUCAGACAAUAUGCAAUAUUGUGGAUGUGAGUUUGCUCGCUGAGCUG